AUGACCGCCAUUGAAUUGGAAGCAAGAGACGAACCGAUGGAGCAGCAGGACGGCCUCUCUUCUUCUUCCUCCUCCUACGCCUCCUCUUUCUACGCCAUGAGGCAGUGCAGGAUUUGCCAUGAGGAGGAGGAUGAGAGCUCCGCGGCAAUGGAGUCUCCCUGUGCAUGCUCCGGCUCUCUCAAGUACGCGCACAGGGGAUGUGUGCAGAGGUGGUGCGACGAGAAGGGGAGCACCCUCUGCGAGAUUUGUCUUCAGGGUUUCGAGCCAGGCUACACAGUCCCUCCCAAGAAAGCUCCGGCCGUUGAGAUGCUGGUUACUGUCAGCGAGGAUGAGGAUGAGGAGGAGCUGGAUGGGCACCAGGGCAUGCACUAUGCGCCGUCCGACGGGCCGAUGGACGGCCCGGAUACCGCCGGUUGCUCGUGGUGCCGGCCGUUGGCGAUAACGUUCACCAUCAUACUGCUGGUGUGGCAUUUCAUCGCCGUGGUGACCAUCGAGGCCGCGGAGCACUGCGCGUUCAGCCUCCUCACGAUGUACCUUCUUCGGGCCGCGGGGAUCUUGCUGCCGCUCUACGCCGUCAUGAGGGUGAUCCGCAUGAUUCAGCACGGGCGGCGCCAGUACCGGUUGCAUCAGCUGCUUGAGGAGCAAAGAAGAAGGAAUGCAUCCAGGCGUAACCAGGAGCAGCAGCAGCUUGUAGUUAGUAUUCAAUGA
rnacentral:rRNA from 1 species